AGGGGCAUAGUUCAAUGGUAGAACGACGGUCUCCAAAACCGUUGAUCUCCGUUCAAUUCGGGGUGCCCCUG
rnacentral:tRNA from 1 species